AAGGCUAAAUACUCUCUAGUGACCGAUAGUGAACCAGUACCGUGAGGGAAAGGUGAAAAGCACCCCGGAAGGGGAGUGAAAUAGAACCUGAAACCGUGUGCUUACAAGUAGUCAGAGCCCGUUAAUGGGUGAUGGCGUGCCUUUUGUAGAAUGAACCGGCGAGUUACGAUUUGAUGCAAGGUUAAGCAGUAAAUGUGGAGCCGUAGCGAAAGCGAGUCUGAAUAGGGCGUUUAGUAUUUGGUCGUAGACCCGAAACCAGGUGAUCUACCCUUGGUCAGGUUGAAGUUCAGGUAACACUGAAUGGAGGACCGAACCGACUUACGUUGAAAAGUGAGCGGAUGAACUGAGGGUAGCGGAGAAAUUCCAAUCGAACCUGGAGAUAGCUGGUUCUCUCCGAAAUAGCUUUAGGGCUAGCCUCAAGUGAUGAUUAUUGGAGGUAGAGCACUGUUUGGACGAGGGGCCCCUCUCGGGUUACCGAAUUCAGACAAACUCCGAAUGCCAAUUAAUUUAACUUGGGAGUCAGAACAUGGGUGAUAAGGUCCGUGUUCGAAAGGGAAACAGCCCAGACCACCAGCUAAGGUCCCAAAAUAUAUGUUAAGUGGAAAAGGAUGUGGCGUUGCCCAGACAACUAGGAUGUUGGCUUAGAAGCAGCCAUCAUUUAAAGAGUGCGUAAUAGCUCACUAGUCGAGUGACACUGCGCCGAAAAUGUACCGGGGCUAAACAUAUUACCGAAGCUGUGGAUUGUCCUUUGGACAAUGGUAGGAGAGCGUUCUAAGGGCGUUGAAGCAUGAUCGUAAGGACAUGUGGAGCGCUUAGAAGUGAGAAUGCCGGUGUGAGUAGCGAAAGACGGGUGAGAAUCCCGUCCACCGAUUGACUAAGGUUUCCAGAGGAAGGCUCGUCCGCUCUGGGUUAGUCGGGUCCUAAGCUGAGGCCGACAGGCGUAGGCGAUGGAUAACAGGUUGAUAUUCCUGUACCACCUAUAAUCGUUUUA
rnacentral:rRNA from 1 species